ACAAGUGAAAGGCUUAACAGAGUCAUUACGAAAUACGCUCGUUACAGUUAAGAUGCCGAAAUUUUGUUUACUUUUAUUAUUGAGUAUACUCAGCUUGGCAGUUAUACAAGUACCUAUAGUUGCAGCUAAAUAUGCAGGAUGCAGGCCGACCACUUUAACACUGCGGCGUGGACAGCAAGUUUGUCACCGAAUUUGUGUGAAAGAAGGUGUGCGAAAUCAGUGCAAUAGAAUGAAAAUAUUCUCUCGAGUUAGCGUAUGCCCAUUGGGUUGCUGUCAACUUGGCGAUAGUUGUGUGUCGCUCAUAAGUCGAAAGUUUUGAAAUAAUAUGCCGUUCUGUAAAUUUGUUUAGUGUAUAAAUAUUUUGUGUGAGUUCCUUUGUAGUAUCUCUCAAACAAGGAAGAUGAAUAAAAUGUUUUUAAAAUUUUUGAAUAGAAACACUA